CCAACCGAUCAACUGCAACCCCACUUGUACAGAGUGUGGAGAUAAACCCAUCUCACGUGGGAUGUGUGAGGGCAUCUUAAUAUUCUUGACAUGAGGGAGGCGUUCCUAAAGUGUCAAGGGCCCUCCAUGCCCUCGAAAAGGCCCCGGGGAGGGAGUAAACCCAACGGAGCGUUCUGCGGAGGCCCAGACUGCCCGCCAGGGGGCUCCGGGGGCUGUUCGUGAGCUCAGCCGCCGAGUGGCCGGCAGGGCCGGGGUCCCCUCUUCCUGCGAGGGCUCUACCGCCAAGCCCCGGAAGAUAAGGGUCAGGAACAACGGCUGCCCCCCACUCCCAUCUUGCUUGGUCUUGAGACAGGGAAACUGAAGUUCAGAGAGGUUAAGGAAGUUGCUGAAAGUCAGGAUUCAAGGCUGACUUCAAACCCAUGCUCUUUAUGCUCUAAAUGCUUUACACAUGUCAACUCAUCGAGCUGAAGCAAAGACUGUCACGACCAUUGCCAAAGGGGGAAACCAAGGUCACGAUCUCGAGGUUCGUGGGCUCGAGCCCCGCGUCAGGCUCUGUGGUGAUGGCGUGCAGCCUGCUUGGGACCCUCUGUCUCCCUCUCUUUCUGCCCCUCUCCCCUGCUCUCUCUCUCGCUCUCAAAAAAAAUAAAAAUAAAAAUAAAUAAAGGCAUUUUGUUGAAGUGCUUUUUAAUUAGCAAAU